AAUCAAAUGUAAACAAAUGACAUGCACAGUUGACAUGGCAACAAAGCAGCACUGCACGCAAGGGUGGCAGCCGCAGCAAUCAAUUCUCCUGAGCUCAGCACAAGUUUGCUCUAAAGGCCAGAGUAGCCAGGAAACAAAGAACAUAUAAGUCAUUAAGGAAACCCGAGGAAGCUGGAAAAGAGGCGAUAUGAAAAAGGGGCCUUUAUAUGGGAAAAACAGCCGUAUUUGUUAUCGAAGAUCAGUAAACUCUACCCUGCCUUAAAAAGCUGUGGGGCCGGCACCUGUGGACGGGGCAGCGUACAGAGCCGUUCAUCCAUGCCUCUACAUAGGAGCUGGAGGGGGAACAUGCCGCUGCUUCCGGGAGCUCCUUGAGAUCCAAACAGUAACUCAAUGACGGGGGAGUGCUCCAGCAUUUAGACAAGAGAUGCGGAACGGAAGGCAUUCAAGAGCAUUUAAUUAAGAUUAGUUGCAUUUGAAGCAUGUACACAUGCAGGCAGGCAGAGACAGACCCCAACACAGGCAAAGAGAGAAUCAUUCUGAGUAUUUGCAAAGACCCUGUCUGCUUUUCAGCUCUUAGUUUUAGCAAAUUAAACAAACUGAGCCAUUGCACAGA